GACGAACGCUGGCGGCGUGCCUAAUACAUGCAAGUCGAGCGAAGUUUUUCUGGUGCUUGCCCUAGAAAAACUGAGCGGCGAACGUGUGAGUAACACGUAAAGAACCUCCCUCAUAAACUGGGACAACUCUUGGAGACGAUAGCUAAUACCGGAUAACAGUAUUUCUCGCAUGGGAAAGAUUUUAAAGUUUGUUAUUCUAACACUAUGAGAUGGCUUUGCGGUGCAUUAGCUAUGUGGUGGGGUAAAGGCCCACCAAGGCGACGAUGAAUAGACGACCUGAGAGGGUGAACGGCCACACUGGAACUGAGACACGGCACAGACUCGUAGGGGACGCAGCAGUAGGGAAUCUUCCGCAAUGGGCGAAAGCUUGACGGAGCAACGCCGCGUGAGUGAAGAAGGAUUUCGGUUCGUAAAGCUAUGUUGUUAGGGAAGAAUGGAUAUGUAGUAACUAUACACGUAAGAGACGGUACCUAACCAGAAAGCCAGGGCUAACUACGUG
rnacentral:rRNA from 1 species